rnacentral:rRNA from 1 species
AGUGAACGCUGGCGGCAGGCCUAACACAUGCAAGUCGAGCGGCAGCGCGGGGGCAACCCUGGCGGCGAGCGGCGGACGGGUGAGGAAUUCGUAGGUAUCUGCCUUUUUGUGGGGGAUAACGUAGGGAAACUUACGCUAAUACCGCAUACGUCCUACGGGUGAAAGUGGGGGACCGCAAGGCCUAACGCAGAAAGAUGAGCCGACGACAGAUUUGCUAGUUGGUGGGGUAAAGGCCAACCAUGGCGACGAUCGGUAGCUGGUCUGCGAGGUGGACCAGCAACAUGGAGACGGAGACACGGCCCAGACUCCAAGGGGGGGCAGAAGUGGGGAUUAUUGGACAAGGGGGGCAAGCCUAAUCCAGCCAUGCCGCGGGGGUGAAGAAGUCCUUCGGGUUGUAAAGCACUUUUGUCCGGAAAGAAAUCCCUGGAGCUAAUACCUUCGGGGGAUGACGGUACCGGAAGAAUAAGCACCGGCUAACUUCGU